rnacentral:rRNA from 1 species
CAGCAGCAGCCGCGGUAAUACGAAGGGUGCAAGCGUUAAUCGGAAUUACUGGUCGUAAAGCGUGCGUAGGCGGUGAGUUAAGUCUGCUGUGAAAUCCCCGGGCUCAACCUGGGAAUGGCAGUGGAUACUGGCUCGCUAGAGUGUGUCAGAGGAUGGUGGAAUUCCCGGUGUAGCGGUGAAAUGCGUAGAGAUCGGGAGGAACAUCAGUGGCGAAGGCGGCCAUCUGGGACAACACUGACGCUGAGGCACGAAAGCGUGGGGAGCAAACAGGAUUAGAUACCCGCGUAGUCCCUGUCUCUUAUAA